rnacentral:hammerhead_ribozyme from 1 species
AUUCAGUUGAUGAGUCUCAAAUAUGACGAAACGCGCGUCCUGGCU